UCGCCACCGUUAUGUUCGCCUCCUCUUUCUCUACGUGAUGAUGUCCAUCGAUCAUCCUUACAAUUCAAUUUCCAAUUUGAUUGUGAAUUAAACAGUAGUCGGGCUUCCAUGGAAUCCGGCCUGAAAACUAGAGCUCCGACAAGCUUCUCCGACUUCCCUUGGUAAACUUGACCCUCUUCUCUCAUACCCAAUUCAAGUCAAUCAUCAAUUUCUUAAAUUGAAGCAUAAAUAUCCACUUCUCUCUUUUCUGCUCCUCAUUGUCACCGCGUCGCCACCACUCCUCCGUCACGGAGUUUCGAUAAUUCCGACUAGCAGUCAAGGCUUAGAUCGAUCUUUUGAUCUCCUUGGGUAAGCUUCAUCCAUCGUUUGAAAACCUAUUCAAUUCUUUCAAAUCAAAUCCUAAUUUCAUUGCUCGUUCUUUGUAUUGCUUCUGUUUUGGAACCCAACCUCCGAUGAAAUUUCUACUCUCACUUGACGACGAGGCAAUCAUUUGGAUUGCUUGGGAUGAAAUCUAGAACUAUGGCAGCUCGGGAAGGAGCAGCAGCUUGGUUUGGAGUUAGAGUUGUGCACUAUACAUUUUUGGAAAUCAAUUGAGAAAAGGUGUUACAAGAGCUAUUCGAUCCUUGGAGCAACAACAAGAUUGGAGCGGAAGCAUAUGUUUUGGACUCAGGAUUUUUACACGUCAUUCCAGAUGGUGUAUGGGAUAAUUCCGCAGGUGUUGAUUAGUGGAGAUUGAGUGACGACUCCGGAGACUCGAAAUCGUUCCUAUCCUGCUUGUGGUGAGGUUUCUAGCGUGGAUUUGUGUGUGAGAAUUGGUGUGGAUUUAUUUGUGAGUUUUGUGAGAGAUUGUGAGGAUUAUUACAUUUCCAUCUUAUGUAAUGUUGAAUUAUAAAUUUGGGUUGUAAUAAUGGGUUUUCUGAGUUGUAUUGAGAACUCAGUAAUGAUCCGCUGUGCAUUUUAAAUGAUUUCGAUUUCAUUGAAAUUGUUUAGUGUUUAACGACUUUGAAAUUUUGAGUUUUUAGGCUCGAAAUUUUAGGGUCGUUAC